rnacentral:rRNA from 1 species
CACGUAGUUAGCCGUCUCUUUCUGGUAAGAUACCGUCACAGUGUGAACUUUCCACUCUCACACUCGUUCUUCUCUUACAACAGAGCUUUACGAUCCGAAAACCUUCUUCACUCACGCGGCGUUGCUCGGUCAGACUUCCGUCCAUUGCCGAAGAUUCCCUACUGCUGCCUCCCGUAGGAGUCUGGGCCGUGUCUCAGUCCCAGUGUGGCCGAUCACCCUCUCAGGUCGGCUAUGUAUCGUUGCCUUGGUGAGCCGUUACCUCACCAACUAGCUAAUACAACGCAGGUCCAUCUGGUAGUGGUGCAAUUGCACCUUUCAAGCAGCUAUCAUGCGAUAUCUACUGUUAUGCGGUAUUAGCUAUCGUUUCCAAUAGUUACUCCCCCGCUACCAGGCAGGUUACCUACGCGUUACUCACCCGUUCGCAACUCAGUCCGGAAAAGACGCAAGCUCCUCCUUCAGUCGUUCUACUUGCAUGUAUUAGGCACGCCGC